rnacentral:rRNA from 1 species
GACGAACGCUGGCGGCGUGCUUAACACAUGCAAGUCGAACGGAAAGGCCCUGCUUUUGUGGGGUGCUCGAGUGGCGAACGGGUGAGUAACACGUGAGUAACCUGCCCUUGACUUUGGGAUAACUUCAGGAAACUGGGGCUAAUACCGGAUAGGAGCUCCUGCUGCAUGGUGGGGGUUGGAAAGUUUCGGCGGUUGGGGAUGGACUCGCGGCUUAUCAGCUUGUUGGUGGGGUAGUGGCUUACCAAGGCUUUGACGGGUAGCCGGCCUGAGAGGGUGACCGGCCACAUUGGGACUGAGAUACGGCCCAGACGCCUACGGGAGGCAGCAGGGGGGAAUAUUGCACAAUGGGCGGAAGCCUGAUGCAGAAACGCCGCGUGCGGGAUGACGGCCUUCGGGUUGUAAACCGCUUUCGCCUGUGACGAAGCGUGAGUGACGGUAAUGGGUAAAGAAGCACCGGCUAACUACGUG